rnacentral:rRNA from 1 species
AUGGACAGGGAGGUGGCGUUCGACCAGACUGCAUCUACGAGGCACGGGAAAGAUCAAGAGAAGAUCAGGGGGAUGAGGAGCUCACAGAGGGCGCGGGGAGAUGUCCAGAGAAGCCGGGGGAGGGCGAGGAUGAGCGGAUCGACCAGCAGUGAGCGGUGGAGGUUGUCGGUGAUUCUGGAUGAAGGCGGCGGCUCGUGGGUGUUCGAGCCCGUCCGGGGCCUUGUUGUCGAAGAGGACGACGACCGUGGUCCUCCUGGGCGCCUCGGUUGGCUGUGGGCAGGCCGGUGGCGAUGUUCAUCGUGCCGACGCGGCGGUGGCUACUCUCAGGUAGAGAGAAUCGAGAGAGGGGAGACGAGCGAGGGGAACGGAAGUGGCUAG